UUUCAACAGAUUAAGAAAGGUCACAGGACACCAGAAAUGAAUGUACCAAAAGAUGGCUCUCCUGUUCCCAUUGGAGCUCGAAACCACAAGGAUCAUUGGCUGACUAAGCGGACUACAUUGAUAACACUUCGUCUGUAGCCUUGUAUGGCUUGGCAUCGCCAGUUGUGUGGAUGGGGC